rnacentral:rRNA from 1 species
AUGAUUGGAAAGACCAAUAGGUAUUUCAAUCCUGAUUGGUAUGAGGAGUAUGAUGGCUUUCAUAAUUGGAAGAAGUCGGAAAGAUUUGUGACUCAUGUAGGUGAUCGCAACAGUUUCCACAAUAGAGCACUAAAAAACUGUGAGGAUCUAGAGAACAUAGAUCAAUCAAUCCCGGUAGCCUUACACAAGCAAUGUCCAAUUGAGAAAACUGAGCAUCUUAUUCGGGUCAAUGCUGCAAUUGUUGUAUGUCGAUACUUGUUGCAUCAAGGACAACCAUUCCGUGGUCAUGAUGAAUCAGAAGAGUCGGUAAAUAAGGGAAACUAUUUGCAGUUGAUGGAAUAUACUAUUAGUCAGAAUGAAAUUCGGGUGGCAUUGGUUCUACGAUACGUGAGUGGUCGACUGUCAUAUGAGAGGUUUGUAGGUGUUGUUCACGUUGAGGAGACUACAACUACUUUUCUCAAGUCCAAAAUUGAUUUUAUGAUUGCAAAGUUUGGUUUGAGUUUAAAACAAGUGAGAGGACAAGGGUAUGACGGUGCAAGCAACAUGGCAGAUUUCUUUGAUAUGAUAUCACUUAUGGUGACUGUUGUUGGAUCAUCUUGCAAGAGAAAGGAUAAACUUAGAGUGGAUCAUCAAGAAGAAAGUGAGGAAAGCAAUUGGUAA